GACGAACGCUGGCGGCGUGCUUAACACAUGCAAGUCGAACGGAAAGGCCCUGCUUUUGUGGGGUGCUCGAGUGGCGAACGGGUGAGUAACACGUGAGUAACCUGCCCUUGACUUUGGGAUAACUUCAGGAAACUGGGGCUAAUACCGGAUAGGAGCUCCUGCUGCAUGGUGGGGGUUGGAAAGUUUCGGCGGUUGGGGAUGGACUCGCGGCUUAUCAGCUUGUUGGUGGGGUAGUGGCUUACCAAGGCUUUGACGGGUAGCCGGCCUGAGAGGGUGACCGGCCAGCAGGGCACAGAGGGAGGGCCUAUGACGCUAGGGGGGGCGGGUGGGGGGAAUAGCGGAGCGUGGGCGGCAGCCCACCGCAGCGAGGGCGCGUGCGGGGUUGCGGCGUGGUGGUUGAGCACGUCUGUCGCGUGUGAAGAAGAGGGAGGGCGGGUGGUGGGGAAAAAACCCCCGGGGACCUAUGCGCAAGGGCAGUGGUGGUGAUGGACGGCAACACGCUUGAAC
rnacentral:rRNA from 1 species